GCGUGAGGUGGGGGGAUAUCUCCUGUGAACAGGGUCUCUUACCCCGCAUCGCCUCACGAGACCAAAGGGGGACCUUUUGGCCCCUUUUCCCCUCAUGUGCCCCCAUGGGGUUUUCUCUUAUGUGGGGGGACGGCUCUCCUCUGCGACAAUACCCCUCUGGGGUGAGAGGAUAACACCCCCCACUGUGACUCUGACACGGGCCCCACACCCCCAGGGGGGGCCACUGGGGAAAAUUUUGCACUGGGGGCAAACCUCUUAUGCCCCUGCGCCGCGUGUAAAAAAAACGCUCUCGUUUUAAAAAACUCUCUCCGGGGAGAAGAGGGUUGUGGUUAUUAAACUCUCCGAUUGUGACUUCCCCCACAAAAAACACCCCGUAUA
rnacentral:rRNA from 1 species